rnacentral:rRNA from 1 species
UACGAAGGGAGCUAGCGUUGUUCGGAAUCACUGGGCGUAAAGCGCACGUAGGCGGACGUGUCAGUCAGGGGUGAAAUCCCGGAGCUCACUUCGGAACUGCCUUUGAUACAGCACGUCUUGAGUCCGGAAGAGGUGGGUGGAAUUCCUAGUGUAGAGGUGAAAUUCGUAGAUAUUAGGAAGAACACCGGUGGCGAAGGCGGCCCACUGGUCCGGUACUGACGCUGAGGUGCGAAAGCGUGGGGAGCGAACAGG